UACGUAGGGUGCGAGCGUUAAUCGGAAUUACUGGGCGUAAAGCGUGCGCAGGCGGUUAUGUAAGACAGAUGUGAAAUCCCCGGGCUCAACCUGGGAACUGCAUUUGUGACUGCACAGCUGGAGUGCGGCAGAGGGGGAUGGAAUUCCGCGUGUAGCAGUGAAAUGCGUAGAUAUGCGGAGGAACACCGAUGGCGAAGGCAAUCCCCUGGGCCUGCACUGACGCUCAUGCACGAAAGCGUGGGGAGCAAACAGG
rnacentral:rRNA from 1 species